GGGGCUGAUUCUGGAUUCGACGGGAUUUCGUCCGCAGCUGGCAAGCGAAUGUAAAGACUGACUAAGCAUGUAGUACCGAGGAUGUAGGAAUUUCGGACGCGGGUUCAACUCCCGCCAGCUCCACCA
rnacentral:tmRNA from 1 species